ACACACACACACAUACAUACACACAAACAAUUAAAACAAACAAAAAACCCUCAAGUUGAGUCUCUUGAUACCCCCUCUUGUUAAAACUAGGAAGUUAAUAGGUGAAACGAAAGGCCAGGUUCUCAGUAUUACCCAACUUCUUUGGAAUCAAUCACUAGUGUUUACCUGUCUUGAACUCUUCACCAGGAAAACAGUGGUGUCUUUAAUAAAGGUCUGGCAUGGCAUGAUGGAUGUGGGACAGUCUCAUCAUUACCUACAUAACAGACACACUGAGGGCUUUGGCAGGCAUGCUCUGUGGGUAUGUUGUCCUUUGAAGUCACUGCUUUGUUUACUGUCCAUCUCAGUAAUUUUCCACCAGUCCUUGCUUUCUCUCAUGGCUUAGAACCUGUCAUAUCCACACAGUUGCUAUGGAUUUUCCUGACAGGGUUUUGAGCAGGUGUAGCUCUUGGGUCAAAUAGGCUACUCUGUGAAGUGUGCAUGCAUAUGUGUCUGUGUUUGUGUGUUGCACUGCUGUUCCAAUCUGUUAUUUUAAUCAUGUGCUAGUUAAAAAUCUAAACUUAGAUUUCCUAUGUCUAGUACCCUUCGAGUGGAUUUCCGGAUACUAUUCAUUAGAGAGGUCUUUCCACCCAUGCCCAACUCUGGCUAUGAUAUUAACCUUUCGUAAUGAAACUGCUCUGUCUGUCUGACACAUAGUAUGCCCUUUUAGUUCUGCCCCCCCCCCCACUUAUUCAUGCGCCUCUUUGCUACUCCCUUUCAAAUGGGAAAUGCUGGCCUAUUUAUCCUUAGUAACCAUGCUGAAGUUUUCAGUUCUUUUUGAUACUUAGGUUUUAUUGGACGAAUGUAGAUUGUACCUUCUCCAAAUGUAUCUUAAAUAAUCGCCACUUACAGGAAUUAAAAACUGCAAGGGAAGGAAAGUGCUGACCCAUACACUAAGCUAAAGGAGCAAACCUUCCCACUGGGUCCAAUUUCCUAAAAAGGACGACCAUCAGGACAGUGGCUGGGGUCUACAGUUAUGGUCUAAAUGACCUCUAGAAAGUGAACCUUUCACAAUGGCCUUGAUUGUGUUUGCAGCAAACAAAGAGAAGGAGCAGUCAGCCUACCCAUUCCAACUCUUGUUUGUCCUUGGCUGGGUUCUAAAGGCUCAGGAAGAGAAUAUAACCCUUAGAAAUGGAGGUGACAUUGCAGGAUAAGCAUGCUCCAAGGCACAGUGUUCAUGCAGGCGUGGUGUCUGCCCCGCACAGAAGUGUUUCCACCCUGAAGGCUUCUCAGAGUCUAAAUGUACAUUUUGAUCACUUCUCAGCUCAGUUGUUUGCAUAAAGGCUCCUUCAUCUCAGCACCAAACCUAAAGCAUUGCCUACGCUUCCCUCUUCCACUUCCUUUGCUUUACUUUUUCUUCCAAAACUGGACUCAAGGGAGUAAAUACAUUGAGAUGUCCUCAUUGAAAUAUGAGACAGCAUAUCUCUUUUGCUUUAGCUAAAUCUUUAGUUAUUUGUUGUGUGACAGGCUUUUCGUGGAGCGAUACAACACACACUCUCCUUUCCUCAGAUAGAAAGCCCACAACAGAACACAGCACAAAGUCACACCUCCAAAGUCAGGCUUGGUGAACCAGGAACCUCUAUUGUGGUCACGUAACAGGUGUGUACGUGCGGGGUUGCCUAUGGCAACAGAAGUGACUCAAAUACAAUUGCAUCACCAAAGCCCACCCCAGCAUGGGUGGCAGCUCACGAAAGCUCACCACACAGCGCACAGGCUGCCCUGUCUUUUCCAGGUGCUUCUGCUGGUCUGAGCCUCUCGCAAGUAGAGCAGCUGUUCCUUGUUCCCGCUAGAGCAGUGGUUCUCAGCCUUCCUAAUUCUGCAACCCUUUAAAACAGUUCUUCAUAUUGUGGUGACCCCCAACCAUAAAACUAUUUUCAUUGCUAUUUCAUAACUGUAAAUUUGUAAAGUAGACUUUAAAUAAUUAAUAAAAUGAAUUUUUAAAUUAAUGAAUACUAAUAUAAAUAUUUGUGUUUUCCAACGGUCUUGGGCAACCCCCAUGAAAGGGUCUUGGGGGUCAUUGCCCACAGAUUGAGAACCUCUGUUCUAGUUGUUGCUGCUUCCAGGCGGCUAGGCUGGUGUCUGCUGCUUCCAGGCGGCUAGGCUGGUGUCUGCUUCUUCCAGGCGGCUAGGCUUGUCUAGGAGUUGUUUCUGCAGUGACUCUCAGCUGCCCUUACUGCUUAUAAGUUGUGGAGAAGGGGCCUAGUGAACCCUGCCUCCUUUAGGAAAUUCUGAUGCUGUUUUCAGCUGUUUACGUCCUGCUGAUAGGUUUCCCGACAGGGUGGGAUGUUUCAAUUGCAUUUAAAAUGGAAACAUAACAAUGCUGCUGGAUACCACAAUUUUCUUAUAAACAAAGCAUAAUAAAGUAGGACUGUCAUAUAUGAUGUUCUUGUGUCAGUAGUUCCCUUACCAACAUACAACUUCUUAAAGAAUCAGUUGUGUUUUCAGAUCCAACUAUACACACUUAAUAAUUAAUAUGUAAUGUAGAAAAGUAGACUUUAACUAGUUAAUAAAAUGAAUUUUUUAAUACUUCAUGAAUCUCAUUUUUAUUUUAAGCUCUCCCAUAGUUUCAAGAUGAUAAAGACAACUUCACAGUGAUGAGAUGACCUCUUGAGAUGCAGGAGACUGAGGAGAGACAACGUGUCAGUAGGAUGAAGCAUCCCAUAGAGUAGUAGUGUUCCCAUACCCUCCCUCUCAUCGUUAUAAGGGAGUCGGUGAAUAGGAAUUUAUAAUAAUUUUUUUUAAAUAAAUGAAAUCUGGGUUUUUUUAUUAGUUGAUCUUUAUACACGUAUAGGUUUCCAUGUGACAUUUCUGAUACAUGUAUACCUGGUACUGUGCCUUGACUUCAGUUUCAGUAUUUGAACCAUGGAUGCCACUUGGCUCAGCAGUUUAAGCAUCACUCUCACAAAAUGAAUGCAAUACUAUCUAAGAUCAUUAUAUUAUGAGUCAUUUUAAGAGGCACUGGGACAAAAUGUAUAUCCAUCAGGAGGGAUUAUUUUAAUAAUGCUAACUCAUACCAUGGACAAAUACACAGCUAUUUAAAAGAGAAUUAGAUGUAGAUGUGUUGCUAAAACCAUAGCACGUAGCUGUAUGCAAAAGGCAAUUUGCAGAUUAUUUUGACUACUGUGAUCAUACAUCUUUUAAGAUGCAAAAAAGAAAAUUGGUAUAUAAAUGUGCUUGAGUAUAAAUACACAAAUGAUACCUACCAAAUUGUUAAUGAUGAUCGUCCUAAACACAGUUAGAUGAUAAAUAGCUGCUUUCUUGCUUUUUCUUUCUUUCCUUCUCCUUCCUUCUUCCUUCCUUCCUUCUCCUCCUUCUCCUUCUCCUUCUCCUUCUCCUUCUUCUCCUUCCUUCUCCUUCUCCUUCUCCUUCUCCUUCUCCUUCUCCUCCUCCUUCCUUCCUUCCUUCCUUCCUUCCUUCUCCUUCCUUCCUUAUUUUGCUUGGUCAUGAGUAAUAAAUAACUUAAGAACUUCUUUAAAAAGUCUUUAAAUGUUCCCUUCUACAACCCCAGGUCUGUGUGUCUGUUUUACUGUCUGUGCUGCUGAGAAAAAGCAAUACCCCAAAGAAAUGCAAGCUUUCCUAUGUUUUCUACAUUCUGCUGCUUUUUGUAACCAAAUGCAACAAAUGCUCUUUAAACUACCUUAAAGCUUUACAGAGUAGAAGGAAGGGAGUUGGGCUUCCUUUCUCUGGUUAGAUCCACGGUGUUGUGCACAUGCCACAGUAGAAACCUCAUGGUGAUGAAAACCAUCCAGAUCGUGUGACUUACCUGACUGCUGUCAGCUUUCACUACUGUGUAUGUGAAGUGGAUAGAAAACUAAACAGUCACGUCAUGUGAAUCAGCCUCCCUGCGUGCAGCGAUCCCUGCUGCAGCUCCCACUGCCCUUCAGUGGGCUUUGCCUGAGAUUCUGAACAGUGGAAUAAAUACAUGAGUUCACUAGUUGCAUGCAGGGUUCACAUGUAAGGAACAUAUACAUGAUCAUGGUCCUUACGGAGCUUGUAGCAAGAGAGACAAAUAGCACAAGAGCCACAGAGACAGCUUUCAGUAGCGGCCAGGAUGUCUGCUUUAAGACUGGAGCUUUGCUGGGGCCCAGGGAAUGAAAGAGCUUUCCAGGCUAGGUCCUGAAAAUGUCUGGACCCCAGUAGGGGCCCUUAGUAUACUGUGCAAGAACAGCCUUGGCAAGCCAGAGGAAGCCUGCAGAUGAGGCCAAAGAGGCUCGUGGGUUUUGAACACGUGUUGACAAUUUUGUGCUACUUAAACAGGAAGCCAGCAGGAGUUGCUAACCGGGGAGUGAUGCUGGAGGAUCCAUGCCACUCGCAGGCACCUUCGCCUUCCUUGUAAGAAUGCUUAACUUUCCCUAAAGACACUGGAACGAACAAUGAGCUCUGCAGCUUAAGAGAGCGGUUUAUCCUAGUGCAGUGCGUGCUCUAAGCUCACUCAGUGAAGAGUGCUUCCCUGGCUCACUCAUCUUCCUGAGCUUCCUCCAGCUCAGUUCCUAUGGCAGUCCCACUGUCGUGAGGACACUGCCCAGCUUGCUUUCAUUGUUUUGUUUUUAACUGGAAUGUAUGAGCCACAUAUGUGAUACCCACUCGGCGUCGUUCGGUACACUGAUGCAGUGGUCCCUCCUCCCAGCUCAGUGUCAGCCUAGGAUGGCCUGAUCACAGAGAAGGAAAUGAAAGAACUAGAGAGCUGCGUGUGUACCCUGAGACCUGGGUCAGGAGGGUGGGAGCCCUGCCUGACCUCAUGGCACUGACCCUCACGUAGUGUCUGACUUCUUUCCGAGCAGUCUCCUCUGCUGCUUUUCACAAAGCCUGCUAGCACAGCCCGCCCUGUAUCUACUCGGGCUCCAUUACUGAUCUCAGUGCCCACCUUCUUGCCUACUGAUGGAGCGUGUCUGCAAUCGGGGUAGCAUAUGCCUGGCACUGCCUCUCUGACCCUUGCUCGCCUUUCUGUAGGCAGUAGGAUCCUUGAGUAUGUUUGCUCUUGGAUGCUUGCAUUCAUGAAGCACAAGCUUUUAGUUUUUGUUCUUAUGUGGAGUCUAUAAGUUGGGAGAUUAGAUGGUAUUAUGAGUAGGAAGAGAAAUUAAGAACAAGUGUACUCAAAUGCAUACAAGUUACUGAAACACCCCCUGUGCUCCAGAGCCUCAUAUUGUACUUCUUGACCAGAGAUUUCAGACCCCUGCAGCUGUCUGUAGGCACUUUGUGUGGCAUGGGGUGGACUAGCAGGGUUUGUUUGUUGUUUGUUUUUUUUAACUCUUCCAAAGAUUUCAGUGAAAUAUUGGUGACAGUGAAUGGAAGGAUGGCUAGGAAUUAGCUCUGUACUUAGCACACAUUGGGAUCAGGGAUCAUAAAUAGGAAGAUCUAUUGUGAUUUGAAUCAAGCUUGUCUUUGAAAUGAAAAGACAAGACUUCCCUGGCUUUGAUCAUAGAAAAAGAAUUCUUACGUUGUCUAAUCUGAAGCUUAAAAGAAAAGUUUUGGUGUUAGCCACUUUUAGAAACGUCCAUGUUACAAAAGGCUGAUGUGUUUUGGCCUGCAGCUCGUUUUCAGCUGUUAUAAAAGGCUGCUGCUUUUGGCCCCCAGCUCAGUUUGCUAGGACUCUGUUCUUCAGGGUGGCUGGCUCUUAUUCACAUUUAUUCAUGUGGGUACACAAUGAAUGCUUAUAUGCCUGAAGUUCCGUUUGCCAGAGACUCUGGUCCUCAGUGUGGCUGUCACUCACAAAUCUACCUGCCUGUUUCUGGUGGCCUCCAAUCCAUAAAGAAAUCAUUCUCUCUUUUCAGUAAGUCUUAGUUGAUACUAAAUAGCUCUGCUAUAUUUGGGAUUAUUUUCCUGAGAUUUCUUGCAUCUAACAUUAAGCAGUACUUUUGUUUGAGAAGUAUUUAUUAUUAGGUCCUAUUACAUGGUGUAUUUUUCAUUUGUUUUAGAUAUUUUCUUAACUCUACUCUGAAACCCUUCACUUUAAAAAGUAAGGAUUCAUGGUACAUAGUCCCCCCCCCACCACACCCCCCCCAAGAAAUCCAGUUUCAGAAUGUGUAAUCGGAGAAAUGCCUUGUGGUGUUCCAGCUGCUGUCGGAUCACAGUCCUUUAGUCAGGGCCGGCCUCUCAUGGCUAUUCCUCUGCCCAUGGAGCCCUUUUAUCAGAGCCGGCCUCUCACAGACUCUCUGCCCAUGAGUAUGAAUAGCUGAACUAGUAAAAUUUUACAGUAUCUUCAAAGAGAACACUUUAGAAUAGUUUGUCAUCCAUAAUGUGUAGAAGUGGAUAUAUUAAGUCAUAUCAUUAAAAAAAAAAAAAAGCUACACCUUUCUACUCAAAUUACCAAGCUGGACGUAUUACGAAACAGCGGGAUUUCUAGUUUACUUUUGUAUUGUGUGUGUGAGAGUGCAUGUAUAUGUGGAGGCCAGGGAGUCAUGUCCUGUGUCUGCCUUAGCCUCAGCGGGCCUUAAUCAUUGUGACAGUAUCUCUCACAGAACGUUGAGCUCACUGAUUUGCCUAGAUGGGCAGGCAAGCAAGUCCUCAGACCCUCCUACCUCUCUGCCUCCCAGAUUCUGGGAUUGCAGGUUCAUACAGCCAUAGCCAGCUUUUUAUGUGGUGCAAAGAGUCUGGAUUCAGGUUUUUUUCAUGCUUUCUACAUUGAUCUAAUAAGUUGAUUGAGCCAUUGAACUGUUUAGUAAGGAUUAACUUAAGCUUUGAAGCUCAUUUCCAGCCUUGGGGGAAUCAAAAUUUUCAAUAUGACAUCAGCUGUUAAUGUAGGGUUCAAUAGUACCCUAUUGACAGCCACCCCCUACCCGUCUGUGAACAAUGUUUAAGACGUGGACCACUGUUCCUGUAUUGGGCCAUGGGGCAAUGUGGGACUGUAGUUAGAGUCAUUAUCAUUAUUACUAUAGUACUUUUGGGGAUUUCUAGAGGCAGGUGACGCCCAUUCCACUCAACGGUUUUCCCGUUAGUUGAAACUCACAGAGUGAUGCUGGAUACGGUGUGCCUCAUCCAGAAGAAGGUAGGAAGAUGGGAUACCAGCAUGUUACCAAAGUUCAAAAGUAGAUGCUUAUCAUCCUGACAAGAACAGAAGUGAAGUUGGCAGACAUGUGUAGUGUUUGGCUUUGAGUAGAUUGCUAUGUUAUAUGUAUUUCUUAGCAAGAGCACCCACUCAUGAUAUAAGCUGCCUACCCUGUUUCUUUUUAUAGCAAAUAAGAUCUGUAGAUGAAUUUGUUAUUAAAAGGCCUGUUAAUAUACAUUGAUUUCUAAUUUGUUCUGAAUUCCUUAGCUGAGAAAUAUAAUUUAGCACUGGUUGUUCUAUUACCUAACAAUAGUUGAUGAAGCACCUACAUUAAGAGUGUCAUAGCAGGUUAAUAUUUAUUGAUUUUUAUGGUGCUACAACUAGUGUAGUUUUGCUAUCAAAGAUGUGUGGCCGUCAACAAUGGAAUCUGUAAAACUGAAGGAUACGCACCCAAUAUUAUUAUUAACUGUACCGAGAAGCUAAAUUUAAUAAUAACAGAUGCUCAGUUUAAUACAAAAAGCUUUGAAAAUGUACCUACCCCAAGGCUGGACUCAUAUUGAAUGUUUAAAUAUGAAAUAUACAAGAACAACAUGUGAAAACAAAAAAAAGCCAUCACAUUUAGUCUCUUCUUCACUUAAGCAUAUACUAUUGAUCUGAAACGAUGUCCUAGUCAGUGAUUGCUGAAAUUAUGAACAAUAAAGGGUUUGUUUCUGUAACAAAAAGUAUAUAAUUAGCAACAAAGGGGGAAGCCUGUGUUUUGUUUUAAAGAAGUUUUAAAGAAACAGUUUAAGUGUCACAACAGUGUUGAGUAAUAUGCAAAGGGAAAAAUAGCUUAGUGCCUAGAAUUUUGAAUUCUUUCUCUGGUUGCGGAUUGGAAUUAAAAUCACGAGUGCAUAUUGUUUGGUUGCUUGUUUUUAAGUUUAUCUCCAUCUGUAUUUCAUUCUGUACACAAGAGUGUAAUUCCUGCUUCACCCUCGGUGUGAGUAACAUGAAGCGUGCCUGUGUCUUUUCUUUCUUGGAUGUGUGUAUAAUUUGUAUUUGUAAUUAACAAAUGAAAUAAGACAACCUGUUACUAGUUUUUAUACGUAAAGUAUAUAGCCGUUUCUUUGCCUUUAAGGUUGCAUGAAUUACAUUUUGAGAUUGAGUGAAAAAUGUCAUGUGUGUGCACAUUCUUCCCCUUCUCUCUCCCUGAUCCCUGGACUGCAGCAGAACACAUUAAGUAUCCAGUCAGUACAUUAACAGAACACAUUAAGUGUCCAGUCAGUACAUUUUGAGACUAUCUUGUCUGCCUCUCGUUUUCCAGUUGAUGUUAAGCCUAACAGCAUGUGUUGAACUUUUUGUUUCUUAGAAAAAAAAAAUGUAUGUUACUUGGAAAACUGUUCUUUCCCUCAAAAUACCAUUUUUAUACUUUGACUAUGCUUCCUAUAAAAUCUGAACAUGUACAUAUAACUGGGAUGAUAAAGCAUUCUGUAGUUUGAAGACACUGUUAGCAGACACAUUUAGUAAAAAUUUUUAUACAGCAAAAAAAAAUACCAUUUUUAUAUAUGGCAAUUAAAAUUCUAAAAUUGGAAACAAAUCAAUUAAAAGAUUCUAGAAACUGCUGGAUCACAAUGCAAAAGCCCUCUGCGGUAUAAAAUGUUUGGUUGGGAUUUUCUUACAGUGCAUGGUUUUCCUUCCUUGAUGUCAGUGUCACGUACACAGUUUUGUUUUCUUGAUCUGUAUCAAGCCUGUCCUUGAACCUUUUCCUUUUUUAGUCAAGCAAGGUCUCAUCCUGACCAUAGAGUGAUUUCAAAUACUCUUUCUCAGGCUGUUUAGGAUGCUACACUUUGACUUCAGAGCAAGACCUGGACCUUGUAGCGUUGUAACCUCCAGGCUGACUUCACUACCCACUGAACCGCUGGUGACAGCUGACAGGCUUCCCUAACACCCCAUUUCAUGUCUAAAAUUACACAGUGUUGCCACUGCCAGCCACUGACAUCCGUCCAUCAUACACUCACCUCCAAAUUAGCCAUUACCAAAGGUAAUGGCUGUUCUGAAAAGAUGACUUUAUGAGAUUAAUUAAAUCAAGCUUUGAUAUCUAGGAGUAUACAGCAGAAAAGCAAAACAUUUAUGUAAGAAAAAGAUUUUAUAAAGGAAGCAAAAUGGAAAUGGAGGAAGAACUGUCCAGGUACUUACACCAAUAGAGGGACCCGGGGCUGGGGAUGGCAAGUGACUGGGUGAGAUCCUCCCAUUUCUCAAAGGAAGAUUUAGUGUUACAAUCAGGAAGUCUGUAUGGUUCUAAUAACUGCAGAAUUUAUUCUCUGCCCUGUCCUUAGAAUAAACAAAAGCAAGUCUUUUAGAGCAAGCUGUGUGCAUGCUUAAUUUGAUAUUUAGUAAUGAAAUCCACUACCUUAAAAGUUGUAAUCUGUGAGUUAUAAGAACUUGCAGGCCACCAGAGAUAAAAAUUGUAAUCCUAUUUUAAAUUGCCUCAUUUGCUUACUUACUCGUUCCUUUACUUUAUAUAUGUUUUAAUUUUAAAUGAAACAUUUUAAAAUUGUAACUGCAAAACAUUGUUGCUUAUGUUAUAACAAUUUACAUGCUUUUGUUUUCUGUUCUUGGAUUGAAUCUGAAAGCAUAGCAUAGCUUCAGCGAUUUACUUGAAGUCAAAGUGAAGUUUGAGAAACUCAGCAUAAACGUGAUAAUGAAAAACAAAAUUUUAAAAGUAGAACUGACAGUAAGAACAAAGUAGCCUGGGCAGUAACGAUGGCCAUUUGUAAACCUUGUCCUUGAAAACAUAAUUCGUAAUUCAUGGUGUUUGAGAAUUGGCGUUUUAAGAAAUGUUUUAAUGAAUUCUUCUUGAACUUAAAAAUUUGUUUAAAAAUAUGAAGUAAGAAGCUUUAGUUAAUUUACCUUACAGCUCUCAAAUGAGUUGUGUUUUGGUGUUUUUGGUUUUGGUUUUGUUUUAGUUAAAAAACAAAAAGCUUUUGUUCUGCUCCUCAAAAGGAGGGCUGGCAGUCCUGUGUUAAUCUAGUCAUCUGACUUGAGGCAGGUGACCCCAGCAUGGAGAAAGCUGGCAGUGACUGUCCCUGUCAGUUUAUAAUCUUGGAGGACAGGACUACCUCCCUGGCUCUCAGACAAGGCACUCGCUCCUGUGUGGUUUCCUGCUUUCGGUUUUUCCCUUGUUGGUGAACAGUGUAGCCUAAUUUUAGCUGAAAUAAUUACUGGUUCUGUGUGACCAGGCAGAAUUUAAAAUACUGUUAAGAAAAGUCCAGAGUCCUCCUGUUUCCCAUAACCACUUCAGCCGAGAUGUUUUCUGAAUUACAACGUGCUGGGAAAUCCAGAGCUGAUUUAACAGGGCACAUACAGAACUCUUCAGUAGGGUUGAGGUAAAAUGGCGUUAAGUAAGCUAUAAACCGAUUCUAAAAAUGCUUCUGACAUGAAGGGGAUGGAAGCCCAGUCGGGCUGCAGCAGCAGGAUGCACACCUAGUGCCUGCCAACAGAGUACAGCGUGGCAGCCUCUCCCCCUCAGGCUGAGUGCAUCUUGGUGGCAGGGCUAAGCCACAGUGCCACCCUCUGGGUCUGGGCCACCACCAGGUCAGCCCUUUUCCACCAUGAAAGGAGGCCUGCACAGACAGAGAAGCAGGCAGCCGCCUGUGGACCCUGUGAGCAGAGUUAUUCUGUGAGGAUGAACCCUGAGCCAGCCAUUGCUCACUCCUUCACUCCUGGGGCAGGAUGGGGGGGGGGGUGUGGAUGGGGUGUCAUCCCUGUCUUGUGUCUUUCUUUCUCUUUCUCUCCUUUCUUUCCCCCAGCUCUUAUGACCUCUCGAACACCACCACCCCCCUUUCUUUUUUUUUUUCUUUUACAAAAAACACAGAAAAGUGCUGUAAAUUCACACCCACAAAACUGAGGGUCAAAAAGCCUGAGAGAAAAUAAUUAAAUCCCAGGCUGAGGGCAGAGCCCAGCACACCUGUCUCUGCAGAGCCCUCACAACUUUUAAGAAACUUACUUUCUUGAAGAACACAACCUUCCUUCCUCUCUGCUUCAUCUCUCAGCUUGUGCGGGUUUAUCAGGAAGAUUCUUGUUCACUGGUUUGCUUGAACGGGAGCCUUCACCUAGUGGCUAGAUUGGUGUUUCGUUUCAUUUUCAUUUAACAAGAAGACCGUACUCUGCUGGUGUCCUGUAUGGCCGGCGAUUCAUUACUAAGUUCACCUACAUGUGUCUUCGUUACUCAGCUCACACAAUUUAUUUAUAAAAACAUGUGCAGAUUGCUGGUCUUCAUCCGACUAGUCUCUCUGACAGAAAUCUUUUGUGUCCGGAGACACUCUUGCAGAUUCAACAUGGUCAGCAUUAUCAGUCUGCUAGUGAUUUGACAUAAUAAGAAGCACUGGAAUCCCAACAAUGGCAAAUUAUUUUGUCAUUUUUAUGUCACUCGGGAAUGUUUUAUUUGUAUUUAUGAAAAUUAUAUAUCUAAGAAAAUAAAUUAUUUUUUAUGUAACCUAAUCUCAUUUUAACUAUAUAUUGUUUAACUUAAGGAAGUUCAUAUUUGGAGAGAAAGAGAAGACAUAUGUUUACAAGACGAUCCAGGUUUUAAAACAAAUUAUAAAUAUUUACAAAAUGCUACUGUGCAUUAGUGUAAAGAAAGUGCAUGGAAAGGCUGGGAUCUAACUGAAGGGCAGACGCCAGCAGCUACAGUGUGCCCUUCCACAUUGAGAGUCAGAUCAGAACCCAAAUUAAAGUGGAGGAAAGAGAGACUGCAUCAGUUAAGGUGUUGUUGCCCAUGAGCACUUUAUCUCCAUAUGCAAAUCACAGAGCAGGCAGCAGAGAGAGAAAGGCAUGGAGAAGGGGAGGCAAAAGGGACAGAAGCCAAGGGGUCCGCCGUCCAUUGUGCUGACUUUAGAACAGAUGGGAAAUAAGUAGGUUAGAUCUACAGUGGACUGUGUGGAUAAUAGCAGAAUAUCAGAAGCAGUACAGGAGAGGCCAUUUGUGUCUCUCCUGCCAGUGCAUUUCUGCUCGGCACACAUCUGAAAUCAGACACUUAAAGGGCCAUCUAUGCUAGCAGCAGCACGGGCAUAAUGCUUAAUGAAAGCAGCGUUAUUAGGAAGGAGCUGGUGCGUCUGGAAACCGCUGCUGUUAUUACCAGGGUCAGGGGAGCUUCUUAUUCUUUCUAUGAUUAACUUUCCAGGCCUGUGAAAUAAAUGGACUAAACACUGAAAAUGACCUUGCUGACUCCUUCCUGUGUGGCAGAGCCUGCCAUAAUCUGUGAAUUUUCACCUAUCCUAGACUGCACCUCUAAUUCACUGCUACCCUCUUUACCUGCCUGUCUCCUCUGAGACUAUGAGAAAAAACACAGCCCUGCCUGCACCUCUGCUCUUCAAAGCAGCUUUAGAGCAGCUGUGUGGAUCCCCAGCCUGAGGAGACUCACAUGGUACCUGGUGGUAUAACAUGUAUAAGGCCCUGUAUUUGAUCCCAGUACCUCACAAUACAUGCAUUUGUUAACAUACCUAUGACAGACAGACGUUUUUACAUUAUAUAUAGACUUAAACCUGGGUCCUCAAGUAGCGUUGUGACCACAGCUUUGGAUAGGCGGUGAUAGACCCUGUCAGCAAAACCAUCCCAUGGCUGUUCUUGGACAGUGUCCUGGACAUCUGUGAGUGUAUCUUAAGACAGGAUUAAUACAAACCAUGCACUCCAGGACCACAGCCCAGUGGGGUGGAGAGGCAUAGCAGUCUAUGUUUGCGAAUUUUCCCUCUGAAAAUUAGAAUGGUAUUACUGCCUCUCCCCAAAAAGAGAAAGACCAAACUGCCUCGGGUUGUCUCUGAUUAUUUUCAUCCUAAUAGCAGUAGAAGACCAUCCGAGGCCAACAUGAAAUAGGUUUGCAGUGCAAGUUGGCCAAGAAGCACUACCCACAGUUACCUAGAUGCUGCACAGAAUGGCAGCAUAGGAAAAGAUGCCCAGAGUCCUCUUCAGGAUGCUGUGAUGCGCAGGCAGUGCUCGUGGUUAAUGAACACUUGCGUGUACAGCUCAUGUCAUCCAGCCCCCUCUUCCUCAUCUCUCUGUAUGGCAUCUGAGGACAAGCCAGCAGUGGCUCCCUUCACUCCCUGUCAUGGCCGUCCUUUAAUGUUCACAUUAUUUAAAAUAGUAAGCAAGAUGCAAGUCAGUGGGUUCUCAGGUGCUCCGUGAAUUUCCAAGGAUUUUCGUGAUUUCUGCUGUUUACCUAGAAAUUAGAGCCAUCCUCAAAACAGUGUAAGCAGAGGUCUCUCGGGUGUGGGAUGUGUGUGGAACAGGGCCAGCACAGAAGAAGAUGGCAUUUGGGUGCCGUGUUGGCAACCAGGGAAGGUGCAGGCUGAGGCCCUGCUCUCAUUGUCACAAAGAUCUGUCACUUUGCUUUCUUGCAAGCCACCAUGGCAUCCCUGCGCCAUUUUCAUGAGAUUCCUGGGGUGUCGAAAUGCCUCUUCUUUCCCUGUGCUUUCGUUUGGAAGCUUUGGAAUCAGCUCUCAGAACCCAGGACAGUCUCCCAUUUUUUUGCUAAUGGGAACUCUGAACAUACACUUCCUGCUCUCUCACCUGACUCUCCAGGGUUUUCAUACUUUUAACAGGAUAUGGUUUUAAUGAGGCUUCUAGAAGCUUUAGAAACUUGUUUAAUGAUUUUGUUUUGACCUUUUACCACUGCCUUUGCUGAGCCUGAAUUGAUUGUCUAUACUGAAGAUUUGCUCGCACCAUACCAAUUUUAAUAUUUUCACAUGCAGCUUUUCCCCUUGCCUUGGUUCUGGAAUGGCACAUAUUGAGGAUUACGAUGAAAACUAAAGGGAUAAUAAUCUUCCCACCUCCCCCUCCCCCCCAACAGCAGCUCAGUACCCAAGAGUCUGUCUCACCUCUUUGUUAAGAACAGCAACUAGGGUUCCCAGGAGGCUCUAAGCAUCUAAACUUACCCAGAUUUUCAUUCGCUUUAAUGGCACGGGCAUUUAAAUAGAGCCCAGUGGAAUAUUUACUGGCCAUAGUCAUUUGUAAGCAGUUGGAAUCCCCACAAGGCAGUGAGCAGGAAUAGGUAGGACCAGUAUGACGUGGGCCCGGCUGCCUGUCCUCGACGACCUUGAAUUCUGAGCUACUCAGUCUCCAGUCAGCCACUGAGUUAAGUUGACUGAGCACCUCUACCCAUGGAGCUCUGGGAUAUUAGCAAACCCUCAGUAAGCCACCAUAGGCCACCUCUUCUGUCACCAUGUCUUCCUGUUGAUUGGCUGUCUGCAUCAGAUACUCUCCUUGAUCGUCAUCAUAAUUUCCCUUCAUGUUUUAACUUCCAGGAAAACCUUACAAUGUACCAUUCUUUCAAGAUAUAGCCCUCCCUUUUCCCUGUUUCCUCUGUUAUUGAGGAUUUUUAAUGUAUGGAUUCAUUUCUUCAGCAUUGAAUACCUUUAGCUUAUAUGAAGUUUUUCAUCUAAAUUUUUAUUUGUGAUUCAUUUUCAUAAUAUAUUUCAUACUAGUAUAUUUAUAGUUACUCAUUUUCAGAACUAAACCUACCUUCCUAAAAUAAGAAGCAAAUAGUUCCUACCAAGCCGAGUAGCACAAGCCCAUACAUAGUCCUGGCUGCUUAGGAUGCUGAGGCAGGAGGAUGAGAAAGUCAAGACAAGCCUGGACCACAGAGCACGUUCACCGCAAGCCUGGGCGGGCGGCUUACUGAGCCCUUGUCUCACAAUCAAAUGUGAAAAGAGGCCCGAGCUUCAGUUCUCACUACCACAAAAGAAGGGUGGCCUAGAAGUAGGAAAGAAUGAAGACAUUUUUAGUUUGUUUUUUUUUUUAAAUUAGUGAUAGAAAUACCAAGUACAGCUGAGGAAUAGGGGAAUCCUAUAGCAUUCGAGGGAGGCAGGGAGACAGGGAGGCAGUAAAACUGGGAAAUGUCUCAUGGUAGUUAACAACAAAUAACGCCCUGAGACAGGCCAGAAUCACACAGUUAGCAGUUUUCCAGCCUCAGCUCAGAUCAUAGACUGGUAACGCCGGGAAAAUGAGUAGGGUCUUGCCAUUGCCGGGAGAUGCUUAUUGAAAGCUAGAACUCCCACAAGACAUCUCGUCUGCCUGCUGAGCCUGUCCUGCCUGUUCACAGGCAUGGUAUAGAUAGUGUCUUGUGGCCCCGCAUGAACACCUCUUUCUGGGUUCAGUGUCCCUCGUAUGUUAGGCAUCCCUGGAGCUGUCGGUGGCAGAGCCUUGCUUUCUCGUGUCACUGUUGCCCUGUCUCAGAAAGCUGAGGCUGGACAGAUGAUGGCGGAGCAGUUAAGAGCAUGCACUGCCCUUGCAGGGGACCAAGUUCAGUUCCCAGCACCCACGUAAGGCUGCUCACAAGGCUUUAUAUCUCUAACUCCAAGAGUACCAUGUCUGUGGCCUCCACAGUUACCUGUGCUCACGCUGAGCACACAUUCCUCCCCUCCUCUCCAAUAACUAGAAAUUAAAAUAAAAAGAGAUUUUUAGAAAAUGUUUAGUUAGAGGAUGAGUUCACUUUCAAGUUGAGAAAUAUAUUCUUUCUUGUAAUGGCCUUGUCCCCAGUUGUUUCCUAUGUAGACCCAUAGUAGAAGCAUAGGUCCUUUAUUCAACUGACUGCAUUUGAGGUACAUAUGGAAAUCCUCAAGGCAAAAUGAAAACCCUAGCAAUGAGACCGGUACAGUUGCUGGCUGAGUCACCAUCCCAGCUUUCUGUGUCAGAUCCCCACUUCCUCCUGUCAUCUGGCUCACAAGUCUGUCACCACGCUGGUAGAUAUUUUCUUCUGGCAGCCUCUAUGUUGUCCUUGCUGAUCUUAGUCUGUGCAUGGCUGCUAACAGCACACCCCAUGCAUGGUAAGGUCCUACUUGUACAUGGUUGUUUCUGCAGCCUUCUUCUCCACCUACAUUUUUUAUGUGUUUUUUUUUUUCAAUUAUAACUCUAUAAUUACCUUUAUCUAAUUUCGUUAGUGAUACUGUAUAGUGUCCUGUAUAGUGUAUAAAUACUGGCUUUAUGCUGUCCUUGCGUGUGGCCAACAUGACGCAGCUAACAGUGAUGCAGACAGUAAGGACUCGGGCCAAGGGCACAUUUUGUAUGGAUUGUUUGCUAUUUAAAGCACUGUUUGGAAGCAGGGGAAAAAAAGUGUGUCCAGGACAAGAAGGUAGUAUAGGGUGAAAGUGAUGUUCCUGUCAGAAGUCCCAACCCUCUGAGGUACUCACCUCACCCUCCCUUAGAGAGUGCCUGCUAAGUUGCUCAGCUGUCCUGCUGUGAGCUUUUGGAAGGCCAGUUAGAUGUGGAAUUUGUUGGAUGAACUAAUUCAUGAAUAAGGACUGAUGGUGCUUCAUUUUCUGGUUAGAGAUCUCCUUGUUACUGAUCACCAUUACAUACCCAAGUGACAGCUACUUGUCAUUGCUGCUGCAGGGACCCACCAGCCCACAGUGAGAGCAGCCUGCCUCCCACACCGGCCUCUGUUUGCCUCUGUUCCUUGUCUGAUCUCUUUGUGAAAUCUAGCUGCCUGUUCUUUAACUUUUCUUUCACACCCAUAGAUGAACUUUUAUUCUUUUUUAAUAAAGGCUUACCGAAACGUUCACUGUUAGACUAGAAAAGUAUGAUUUUAUUUUCAUACUUUUUUUUUCUAAUUAGGUCUUUCCAUGUUAUCCAGCUGGUCUCAAACUCACAUCCCUGGUUCCUCAGGCUCCUGAGUAUCUUAAGGUUACAAGCUCAUGCCACUGAGCCCACAUCCCAUAGCAACAGAACAUGUCUAGGUACUGAUGCAAACGUCUGGGGUGUGUACCCAGUGCAUUAGAAGAAACACUGUAGUAGGGAAUGGUUUUGAUCAAUUUUCAGUGUUUUAGAGUGUUACAGCGCUAAAAUUUAAUCGCUUGCUCCAGUGAUGUCUGAUUGCCACGCUUUAGGAUGUGGGAGGCUGUGAAAGCUAGUGCAGUGCUGUCCUUUGGACCAACCACUGGAGAUGUCACCUUCUUACUGUGUGCACCCUCACAGAUGUCGUCACUGACUGAUGCUCUGAUGAAAUGUCAUGAUCCAAAGCAACUUAUAGAAGAAAGGCUUUAUUUCAGUUCAUAGCUCCAAGGGAUGAAGUCCUCAUGGCAUGGAUGCCUCUGGCAGCAGAAGGUGCUGGUCAUAAUUCAUCUGCACACAAGAAGCAGAGCGAGAGAGUACAAAAUGGUGGAUUCUAUAAACCCUCAAAGCUCACUCCCUUUGUGCUGUAACCUUCCAGCAAGGCUCUACUUUCUAAAGGGUCCAUAACUUCCCUAGAGAGCCAGGAAGUAGGGAGCAUGUGCCUGGUUGGGGUUAGGGUAAGGGGUAUUUAUCACCCAAACCACACAAUGGAUACCAAUAGAGAUGCUUAGUAAUAUUUUCUUACAGACUUCUUGCCCUAUUAUAUUGGUCAAACCCUAAUAUGAUUACUAGGACUACUCAAGUUAUUUUAAAAUAGACUUUUUUACAUACAAGCAAAUAUAUAAAAAUACUUAGAAUAUUUUGCAUGGUUGUAGAAGCUAAUUUAAAACAUGUAUGUCUUAUGCAGUAGAAGUCUUAAACCUUCUUAGCAAGAACUAAUAAUUGUUUGGGUUUUUAUUGUGUUUUGUUGUAUUUUAUUUUAUUUUUUGUUUUGUUUUUGUUUUUUGUUUUGGGGUCUGGCUUGAAAAAGUUACAUGGUACUUUGCUAACAUUUGUAUUUUCUGGUAGCCUAUAUUUUGGUGGUGUUGAAAUAGUUAAUAUUUUGCCACAUACAUUUUUACUGGCUUUGAUUUUUAAAUGGUUUUAUAAAAGGAAAGAACUAUUAUUAAAAAUUGUCUUAUUAUGAAGUAUAUUCAGUCUCUAAGCAUAUAAGCUAAGGAUCUUGUUUUCCAUGCAAAUUGUUUUGUUUCUUAGAAGAGCCAGGCCUGUGAGCAGUCUGGGCAGCUGUUCUGUGUGAACAAAAGACUUUGUUCUGAUAGCAGGGUGUCUUCCCAGGCCUGGCUAGGCCUGCUAGACCCAGCUUCUGGGAUCCUGUGAGACCCAGCUAGAUGGGCAGUUGGUGUUGCCAAUAAGCUCAUGAGGAAGGAGAUGGUAGGAGCCACAUCUUGCUCUCCCUGUCCCCCUUCCCUCACACUGACAUAAGCUUUGAAGCACGUCUUUUCUACGGUAUUCUUACUUCCCCUUCAACACGUUUUCAGCAGACACGGAUAUCAUGGUGGCAGCUGUUCUCUUGAGCACUUGCUAAGGCCCAGGCUGCCCCUGUGUCUCCUGGGUUCGCCAGCAGACACUGUAUCCUUUCUUUCUGGCUGAUUUAAAGAGUUUUUCUUGGCCUUUAUUUCUCAGAAAUUAAUUAUAAUGUGUAUUUGUGCAGGUUUCUUUUCAGUUUCCUUCCUUCAGGGCCCCUCACCUUCUUAAUCUGUAGGAACAAUCUUCCAUCAAGUUUGGAAGUUUCAUACUUAUUUCUUUAAAUGACAUUAAAUUCUUCUCACCUUUCUUUUCUUCUUCUGAUAUACCACUGAUGUAAGGGUGGGUUCUCCUCGUUCCAUUCCAUCCCGCUGGGGCCUCCAUUCUUUUGCAGCUACUGAGCCCAGUUAGUAAGUAUGUAAAUCUUUUAUUGUACUUUUCACUUCUUUAAUUUUCACUUUCUCUUUUAUAACCUCUGUUUCUUCACUGUGAAUAACUUAUUUUUAUGUGUAUCUCAGGAAAUAUACAGUUUUGCUCAAAACAUUUUUAUACUUACAUUAAAACUCCUGUCUAUUUAUUCUAGCAUUGGAUUUUUCUCAAUAUUAACUUCAGACAAUUUUCUUACUACAUUGUGACUUUCUAGGAUCUUGCUGUGAUUGGUGACUGUGUGCCAGACCUCUUGCCUAUUUUGUAUGUCUGGGUCAUAUUUGGAAUUUUAUUUCAUGAAGUUACUUCAUUGGAAUUUAACAUGCAACAUAAUUUUGUGCACUGUGGUUCCAUUGCUGCCUGAAUGUUUUAUGCUUUUAUAGGUCAUUUUAGUUUUCUCAGUUUCUGGGAAUUGACUGGGUUUCCUACUGAACCCCACUGCCUGAGAGGACAGAAGGCUUUCUGGCCACCCAAUUUUUUGCCUUUCGAUCAUUUAGACUGAGGUUUGAUUUUGCAGUAUUUUACUUUGUAGAGCAUUUUACUGGUUGCUGAGAUACUUCUUCUUGUCCAACUGGCUUACAGCUAUCUAGAAUAGCAGUUGUAUCGUUUGUGCAAAGUGUAGAAACUUCACACAUAUUUGCUCUUCUUCAGCAUCCCUUUUGUAUGAGAUUGUUUGUGUAGCUACAUGAAUGAGAACCACCUUGAAUAGUGUCACAGUUUUUCCUUAAACUGUGUAAAAUAUACAUAAGAAAUACCAGUCUUUGGGCAACCAGCAUCAAGUAUCCUUGGUUUAUUGUUGUUGCUGUUGUUUGUUUUGUCACUAUCUUCCUAUCUUGUCGACAGUGAGGCUACCAGCCAGUAUAUAUACAGUUCCACAAAAGCACACUUGAUAGCAUUACCUAGAACAGGCAUCAGUACUUGAAAAUCCUUUUGGACAUCUCUGGUUUGAUGAUAUUAAUUAAAAAAGAAAGACAACUAUUGGACACUAGUUUGCAAGGGCCAUUGCAACCCAGUUCUGAAGCUAUCCAAAAUCAAUGAGUCCUGCACCCCUUGCUUAUUUAUGCAGUCAGCGUUGGAGAAGUGUCAGUGGGGCAAUUCCAUGCCUCCUCUUAUAGCUGCGUGGUCUGUCCAUUACUUUUCUCAUUGCUGUUCUAAAGUACCCAACAGAAGCAGCUUAUGGAAGGAAGGGUUUACUUAGGCUCCCUCUCCCAGAGAUACAGUCUACCAUUACAGGGAAGGUAAGUCAACAAGAGAAAGGGGUUGCUAGUCACAUCCAGGCUGCAGUCAGUACGCGUAGAAUCAUUAAUGCUUGUGUUCAGCCCCAUUUCUCCUUCUAGUUCAGUAGAGUAAGGCAGCCCAUGGAACAGUAGCACCUACAGUUACUAUGGACCUUCCUAGAUAAUCCUCUCAAACUCGCUCACAGACUUGUCCGUGGUGAUUUGAACUCCCAUCAAGUUGAUAAUCAAGAUUAUCAACUAUUGUAUGUGAUUUGUAUCUGCAUAUCUCUACAAAAAAGGUCUCCCAGUUUCCUCUUUGCAUAAGGAAGUGGCAGUCCACCCAACCCCACUAUAACCUCAUCUUAACUAAGUAUCCCUAAGGAGCUCAUUCUAAAGAAGGAUUCUCCACCUCCACCUCCACCUCCACCUCCACCUCCACACCUGGGUGCUGUGCACCCUGUAGAUUAAGUGUUUGCCCUGUGGUAUCCACCCUCUCAGGUCUCUGUCCCUGUGAUUUGCUGCUGCUUAAAAUCUUGGUGCAGUUAUUUAGUCAAAUCUUACAGUAAACAGUGGGGCUUCAACCUUUAGUCUUUAACAAUCUUAAAACACAUAUAAAUCUUAAUAAUAAAGAGUUAACAGAAACAAAGACAAGAGGUGGCCAAGAUAAUGGCAUUGUCAUAGAUUAAUUUGCUAUGUGUUUGAAGAUGGUUAUAAUGGAAUCUCACUUUUUUCCUAAGUAUCACAUUACCUCAGGCAACUUUACCUGAUUACACUAAUCAUGCUAAAUAUGAAACCUUCUUAGCAUGGGGUGUUAGAAUUUACAGAAACUAUAUUUAUGCCUCUUAGUAUCAUGCACUAAAGUAUACAUAGCGAAAACUAUUGAUACUGUAGUAGGAUGUUUUGUUUUGUUUUGUUUUUAAUUCUAAAAAUAAUUCAAUUCGCCUUACAGGAAAGGACAGGGUACAGCAAGAAGCAGAGGUGCUAAUUUAGGACCGACUUAGCAGAAUGCUAUGUUUCUGGUAUUAUUUCCAAGAGUAGGGCAACACAUUAUGGCCUUCAUAACUGCUAAGUUAUCUCCUCUGUGUAUACCAUGUAGUGAUUUAUCAGACUCACGAGGCCUUUCUUCUGCUCAGCUGUUCUAUCCUUGGAAGGACAAGAAAGAGAAACAAUUUCAAAUGAACAUAUGGCUUUCCAAAAAUGGAAGGUGGAGGAGCAGGUCAGCAGCUGAACUGAUCUCAGGGUCAGCCAACUCUCUCCUCUCACCUUAGCAACCACAAGAUGAGCAGCUUUUGAAACCAGCACAUUCAUGGGAACUCGCCUGCCUGAAGAACCCUGCCGCCACCGCAGACACUUCAUCAGGUGGAAGAGAUGGCUUUUGCAAAGACACCAUGCGCAAGCAGGCUGCAGGUGACUUUUCAUAGCAGCUGCUACCGUGUGUGUUUCAGAAGAUCUUCCCGGGAAGUCUCUUAAGCCUGAUUUCUCAUAGGAACUGGUCAUUUCAAUCCUACCUUGAAUUUAUAUCUAAGGGCACAUUAAUAAAUUAUUAGGAGAAAUAUUAACCGCAUAAGCAUAAUUGGCCAGAGAGCAUAGGUUUUGAGUGGAAAACCAGUCACCUUGGGUCCUGGCCUGCCGCACAGGUGUUGAGACAGUAGCAAGCAGUGCUGUGUGUCAGCUUCCUGAAAUGCUGAAGCAUUCAGAGUCCACUUGUCCUUCAUCAUCCCGAGGGGUGCAGUCCACGACUCACUACAUCUAUGGUACCAGAUGGUGCCAAAGCCUAUAAUCUAAUGUCUUUGAUCUUGACUGUGCCUUUAUCACGUGUGGGCAUUUUGCAGCUUGAAGUGUGACGGCAAAGCUAACACACAUCUCUUUUGCUCUUCACAAUCUCACAGCAGAGAAUACAUUUGCUAGAGAUCUCAGCAAUUCCAGGAGAUAAUUUUUCCCUCUUUCUUUAUGUAAAAACUUCUGAUAUUUCUUGUUGAUGUAUUCAAAUUCCUGUGCUGUGAAGCUACUGUAAACCAAAGGUAGCUUGAAUAUAAGUGCUUAGUGCAGUACUGCCACUAAUAAUGUGAGGGUGGAACUAGUUACCAAAUGAUUAAUGUACAGGUAGCAAACACAGUAUGGAAACACUGGACUGAAAAAACAAACCAAGACAGAACACAGGGUGUGUCGGGUAGAAGGGGACUGUGUAAGAGAGUAUAGCAUAUUACACAGAAGAGAACACAUCUUAAAUACUAGGAAUUUUCUCCUAAAAAUUCCCUUUUAGUGUUUCUGGACUAGAGAGAUCACUGGAGCUCUGGGAAAUAGAGGCACCAGUGGGAUAGUGUGUUUUUUCUCCAGAUCUUUGUAGUUGAGAUAUUACUGAGCUUCUAACCUUUGUUCUAGUUUAACUCACAGCCAGUUGUCAUUUUUACCUCUUUGAUGCUUUGAGAUUUUUUGUUUGUUUGUUUUUUGUUUUGUUUUUGUUUUCCUAAACCUAAAUUCUCUAUGGAAUUUUGAAUCUCUUUUUAUUUUUUCAUGACUUCCCUAUUCUUGUUGGUAUUUUGUUCUUUUAAUGUAAAUUUGUUUCUGUGUACUUUAAAAAUUAGUGCUUUUGUAUAAUCUUAAGUUCAAAAUACAUGUUCAAGGUUUUAUCUACGUA